CAGUAGCCACGGGAAAACGGAGGGAGCUAGCGUUAUUCGGAAUUACUGGGCGUAAAGCGCACGUAGGCGGCUUUGUAAGUUAGAGGUGAAAGCCUGGAGCUCAACUCCAGAAUUGCCUUUAAGACUGCAUCGCUUGAAUCCAGGAGAGGUGAGUGGAAUUCCGAGUGUAGAGGUGAAAUUCGUAGAUAUUCGGAAGAACACCAGUGGCGAAGGCGGCUCACUGGACUGGUAUUGACGCUGAGGAGCGAAAGCGUGGGGAGCAAACAGGAUUAGAUACCCCGGUAGUCCCUGUCUCUUAUAA
rnacentral:rRNA from 1 species